GUCCAGAUUUAAAGGCUCAGAUUACUGUGGUGACAGCGCCAGGCUACUAGCACCUGGAAAAGACCAGAGUUCAAAUCCCUGCUUUGGGUG